rnacentral:rRNA from 1 species
UACGGGAGUGGCAAGCGUUAUCCGGAAUUAUUGGGCGUAAAGCGUCCGCAGGCGGUCUUGUAAGUCUGUCGUUAAAGCGUGGAGCUUAACUCCAUUUGAGCGAUGGAAACUGCAAGACUAGAGUGUGGUAGGGGCAGAGGGAAUUCCCGGUGUAGCGGUGAAAUGCGUAGAUAUCGGGAAGAACACCAGUGGCGAAGGCGCUCUGCUGGGCCAUAACUGACGCUCAUGGACGAAAGCCAGGGGAGCGAAAGGG